rnacentral:lncRNA from 1 species
AAAAAAACCAGAAUUCCCUGAAGACAAAUGUUUGGUGACAAUUUGUUGAGCCAAUGUUUUCCUGGAGAGAACAGCCUGUCUGAGGAGAUCUAACAAUUGCGUCACUCAGACACAGUCCCCCUGGGCUUAGGAAUUGGCAGAGGAGAGAGAAAUGACUUCUGGAGUCCAGACUGCAGGCGGGGACAUGGAGGCCCACGGAGUACCUGGCAGGCCCACAGUCCACAGGUUGGAAAGAGGUGCCCAAGCCCUGGACUUUAAGCCUGGGCUCUGACCUUCAACGUUUGCUUUUCACACCACACAUCAUGUCAAUAAAUAGUUACUGGAUGCCUGUUGUGUGCCAGGCCCCAAGACGGGUGUUGCGUGACUGACAACAGAAAAAGCUUCUCAGUGGCGAGGGAUAAGCUAGAUCAUGGGCCUUAGUGUAAAUCGCCCAGGGUUCAAAUUCCAG